rnacentral:rRNA from 1 species
UACAACGAAGAGUUUGAUCCUGGCUCAGGAUGAACGCUAGCGGUAGGCUUAACACAUGCAAGUCGAGGGGUAACAGGGUAGCAAUACUGCUGACGACCGGCGCACGGGUGAGUAACGCGUAUGCAACCUACCUUUAACUGGGGAAUAGCUUCGAGAAAUCGGAAUUAAUACUCCAUAAUAUCAAAGUAUCGCAUGGUAUUUUGAUUAAAGCUCCGGCGGUUAAAGAUGGGCAUGCGUGACAUUAGCUAGUUGGUAAGGUAACGGCUUACCAAGGCUACGAUGUCUAGGGGGUCUGAGAGGAUGAUCCCCCACACUGGUACUGAGACACGGACCAGACUCCUACGGGAGGCAGAAGUAAGGAAUAUUGGGCAAUGGAGGCAACUCUGACCCAGCCAUG